AACAAUCGUCAACGGAACACCACUAAAGCAUUGAUCGCACAUUAACCGAUAAUUCUUUUACUUUUGCAUUAAUGACCGACAAAUCUCUACUGCAAGAUACAUUAUAUGUAUCAAAGAAUCAAUUGCACUAUGCAACGACAGAGCAUGACCAAUGUUUAAGACAAGAAAAGUUGGAACAUCUUAGAGUUGAAAGAGUAAUCCUGGUGAAAGAACACAGACAACUAUUGUAUUAU
rnacentral:lncRNA from 1 species